UACAGCGACUGCGAAUGGCUCAUUAUAUAAGUUAUCGUUUAUUUGAUAGUACCUUACUACUUGGAUAACCGUGGUAAUUCUAGAGCUAAUACAUGCUAAAAAUCCCGACUUCGGAAGGGAUGUAUUUAUUAGAUUAAAAACCAAUGCCCUCUGGGCUCCUUGGUGAUUCAUGAUAACUCUUCGAAUCGCACGGCCUUGCGCCGGCGAUGGUUCAUUCAAAUUUCUUCCCUAUCAACUUUCGAUGUUUGGGUAUUGGCCAAACAUGGUUGCAACGGGUAACGGAGGGUUAGGGCUCGACCCCGGAGAAGGAGCCUGAGAAACGGCUACUACAUCCAAGGAAGGCAGCAGGCGCGCAAAUUACCCAAUCCCGAUUCGGGGAGGUAGUGACAAUAAAUACUGAUACAGGGCUCUUUUGGGUCUUGUAAUUGGAAUGAGUACAAUUUAAAUCCCUUAACGAGGAACAAUUGGAGGGCAAGUCUGGUGCCAGCAGCCGCGGUAAUUCCAGCUCCAAUAGCGUAUAUUAAAGUUGUUGUGGUUAAAAAGCUCGUAGUUGAACCUUGGGCCUGGCUGGCCGGUCCGCCUCACCGCGUGCACUGGUCCGGCCGGGCCUUUCCCUCUGUGGAACCCCAUGCCCUUCACUGGGCGUGGCGGGGAAACAGGACGUUUACUUUGAAAAAAUUAGAGUGCUCCAGGCAGGCCUAUGCUCGAAUACAUUAGCAUGGAAUAAUGAAAUAGGACGCGUGGUUCUAUUUUGUUGGUUUCUAGGACCGCCGUAAUGAUUAAUAGGGACAGUCGGGGGCAUCAGUAUUCAAUUGUCAGAGGUGAAAUUCUUGGAUUUAUUGAAGACUAACUACUGCGAAAGCAUUUGCCAAGGAUGUUUUCAUUAAUCAGGAACGAAAGUUAGGGGAUCGAAGACGAUCAGAUACCGUCGUAGUCUUAACCAUAAACUAUGCCGACUAGGGAUCGGACGAUGUUAUUUUUUGACGCGUUCGGCACCUUACGAGAAAUCAAAGUGCUUGGGCUCAGGGGGAGUAUGUCGCAAGCUGAACUUAAAGAAUGACGAGCACACAGGGUAA
rnacentral:rRNA from 1 species